rnacentral:tRNA from 1 species
GCGCUCGUAGUUCAAUGGAUAGAACAUUUGAUUGCGGAUCAAAAGGUUGCAGGUUCGACUCCUGCCGAGCGCAC